rfam:Hordeum vulgare subsp. vulgare, WGS project CAJW01000000 data, contig: morex_contig_158318
CGUGAGCUGGGUUUAGACCGUCGUGAGACAGGUUAGUUUUACCCUUCUGAUGACUAUAAAUGUCGUUGCGAUAGUAAUCAACCACAGUACGAGAGGAACUGGUUGUUCAGACCUCUGGUUCACGCCCUCGGUCGAUCGACCGGUGGAGCGAUGCUACCAUCUGUUGGAUUAUGCCUGAAUGCCUCUAAGGCCGAAUCCGCGCUAGAUCGUCGUUGGCGACGAUACAUCUGGGAGUCUCGUGUGCCGAAAGGCGAGUACAGUCUAUGUGACUAUGCUAGGCGGCUGUUCCUUACGGUCAGUCGUCGCGUUGUGCCCCGCCGUGUGCUGUGCCGGAACGGCUGUGACCAGGGAUUGAAACACCUGAAGUUGCGGCCCCCGGCUUGCAGUAGACCAAGGGUUUUUCGGAGUCGGGACUCGGAAUCGUUUGUAGACGACUUACGUACCUGGCGAGGUGUUGUCAGCGGUAGAGCAGUUAUCACGCUGCGAUCCGUUAAGACUCUGCCUUCCGCUUGGGAGAUUCGU